rnacentral:rRNA from 1 species
AUUGAACGCUGGCGGCAGGCCUAACACAUGCAAGUCGAACGAGUGGCGGACGGGUGAGUAAUGUCUGGGAAACUGCCUGAUGGAGGGGGAUAACUACUGGAAACGGUAGCUAAUACCGCAUACCAUCAGAUGUGGCCAGAUGGGAUUAGCUAGUUGGUGGGGUAACGGCUCACGAAGGCGACGCUCCCUAGCUGGUCUGAGAGGAUGACAGGCCAAACGGAAACUGAGACACGGUCCAGACUCCUACGGGAGGCAGCAGUGGGGAAGAUUGCACAAUGGGAGAAAGCCUGAUGCAGCCAUGCCGCGUGUAUGAAGAAGGGAUUCGGGUUGUAAAGUACUUUCAGCGGGGAGGCGUUACCCGCAGAAGAAGCACCGGCUAACUCCGUGCCAGCCGCCGCGGUAAUAC